rnacentral:rRNA from 1 species
UACGUAGGGUGCAAGCGUUAAUCGGAAUUACUGGGCGUAAAGCGUGCGCAGGCGGUGAUGUAAGACAGAUGUGAAAUCCCCGGGCUCAACCUGGGAACUGCAUUUGUGACUGCAUCGCUGGAGUGCGGCAGAGGGGGAUGGAAUUCCGCGUGUAGCAGUGAAAUGCGUAGAUAUGCGGAGGAACACCGAUGGCGAAGGCAAUCCCCUGGGCCUGCACUGACGCUCAUGCACGAAAGCGUGGGGAGCAAAAGGG